rnacentral:lncRNA from 1 species
CAUCCUUCCAAGGUCAGCAAAUUGAGUACCACCUUGCUGUUAUCCUGUAUCAGAAUAGCGACCCAUCCAGGAUUGUGCCCACUAGCCCAGGAGACUGCUUAGGCAGCACCAACGCUCUGCACAGAGUAUUAUCUCAAUGGAUGGAUGGAUUCAGAAUGUGACAAGAGAUAGCUUCAACCUCGGGCCAGAGACGUUAGUCCAAGUGUCAUGCCACAGAAGACAACUGCAUUAUGUUCUAUGAAGGGAGCGGCUUUGACUCGAUUCCGAACCUCCGGGUUGCGCUUCCUUUGACCAUAUCUGAGUGAACCCAAGCCCAUCAUGUGUUGGGGAAAUAACAAGUUGCACGUCAGAGCAACUCAAUCACGACUUAUUGAGCAAAGAGAAGGCCUCACCCAUCCACCCUACCCUCAUCCUCUCCAACCUUUCCCUUAUGUUGUUGGAGUAAUUUUGAGUGAUAAGGCUUGGUUAUAAGAUUAAUUAUAACGUUUAAGAUUAAUAAUUAAUUCCUCUCCUUAUGCCCUGGUUUGGAAAGCAAUGGCAAACUACCCAGUAUAAUCCUUGCCAAUGAACUGCUUCAGCAGCAUCAAUGCCCUGCAAGAGUAUGGUACAUCAGAAUGAGAAUCAAAAAUUAUCCCCUGGGCCAUUUUUGUUGCAAUGCAUCUGUGGAUUUCACCACCAAUGUUUGUCUUUUUGUUGUUGGUAUGUAAAUAAUUGAAGCAAAGUAUAAAUUGUUCCUGCAGGUGAUGUUGUACUGAAUAACACUCCAAACUCUGACAUGGAAAAACCAGGGACGUUUGCCAAGUACUCCACUGUCACAUUAGAAAACGAUUCAGAUCUUCAAGCUGUGGUUGACGUGUUACGAGACCUUCCCCAGGAUGUUAUUCGACCCAUUCUUCGAAACCUGGAUGUUCAGGAUACGGACAUAGAUAACUUGAAUACCUCUGGUUACAAUGAAAAGAUUUAUGCAUACUUCAACUGUUGGAGGCAGAAAGUGGGCAAGGAUUGCUCUUUGGUACCAAUUCUAGAAAAACUCGAGUUCCGCAGUCAAAAGCUUACCAUGGAUAAGGUUAUGGGGGAGGGGGGGGGGGGGGGGGGGGGGGGGGGGGGGGGGGGGGGGGGGGGGGGGGGGGGGGGGGGGGGGGGGGGGGGGGGGGGGGGGGGGGGGGGGGGGGGGGGGGGGGGGGGGGGGGGGGGGGGGGGGGGGGGGGGGGUAAGAGCCCCAGACCCACAAACGCUUGACAAAGAAGAAAGCAACGAUGUAAGAGCCCCAGACCCACAAACGCUUGACAAAGAAGAAAGCAAUGAUGCUGCACCUCUGCAGAGAGAUGAACAUUAA